AAGUCGAACGAAGUAGCAAUACUUAGUGGCAGACGGGUGAGUAACAUGUGGGUAUCUGCCCUUUGGCCUGGAAUAACACGAGGAAACUUGUGCUAAUACCGGAUAAGUCUUUACGGAGAAAGCUUUAUGCACCAUUGGAUGAGCCCGCACUUGAUUAGUUUGUUGGUGGGGUAAUGGCCUACCAAGACUGUGAUCAAUAGCUGAUUUGAGAGGAUGAUCAGCCACAUUGGGACUGAGACACGGCCCAAACUCCUACGGGAGGCAGCAGUGGGGAAUCUUGCACAAUGGAGGAAACUCUGAUGCAGCGAUGCCGCGUGAGUGAAGAAGGCCUUUGGGUUGUAAAGCUCUUUCGUCGGGGAAGAAAAUGACUGUACCCGAAUAAGAAGGUCCGGCUAACUUCGUGCCAGCAGCCGCGGUAAUACGAAGGGACCUAGCGUAGUUCGGAAUUACUGGGCUUAAAGAGUUCGUAGGUGGUUGAAAAAGUUGGUGGUGAAAUCCCAGAGCUUAACUCUGGAACUGCCAUCAAAACUUUUCAGCUAGAGUAUGAUAGAGGAAAGCAGAAUUUCUAGUGUAGAGGUGAAAUUCGUAGAUAUUAGAAAGAAUACCAAUUGCGAAGGCAGCUUUCUGGAUCAUUACUGACACUGAGGAACGAAAGCAUGGGUAGCGAAGAGGAUUAGAUACCCUCGUAGUCCAUGCCGUAAACGAUGUGUGUUAGACGUUGGAAAUUUAUUUUCAGUGUCGCAGCGAAAGCGAUAAACACACCGCCUGGGGAGUACGACCGCAAGGUUAAAACUCAAAUGAAUUGACGGGGACCCGCACAAGUAGUGGAGCAUGUGGUUUAAUUCGAAGAUACGCGCAGAACCUUACCAACACUUGACAUGUUCGUCGCGACUUUAAGAGAUUAAAGUUUCGGUUCGGCCGGACGAAACACAGGUGCUGCAUGGCUGUCGUCAGCUCGUGUCGUGAGAUGUUGGGUUAAGUCCCGCAACG
rnacentral:rRNA from 1 species